rnacentral:rRNA from 1 species
CCUACGGGGGGCUGCAGUGGGGAAUAUUGGACAAUGGGCGAAAGCCUGAUCCAGCAAUGCCGCGUGUGUGAAGAAGGUCUUCGGAUCGUAAAGCACUUUCGACAGGGACGAUGAUGACGGUACCUGUAGAAGAAGCCCCGGCUAACUUCGUGCCAGCAGCCGCGGUAAUACGAAGGGGGCUAGCGUUACUCGGAAUUACUGGGCGUAAAGGGCGCGUAGGCGGCUUGGCCAGUCAGGCGUGAAAUUCCUGGGCUUAACCUGGGGACUGCGCUUGAUACUGCCAGGCUUGAGGCCGAGAGAGGGUGGUGGAAUUCCCAGUGUAGAGGUGAAAUUCGUAGAUAUUGGGAAGAACACCGGUGGCGAAGGCGACCACCUGGCUCGGUACUGACGCUGAGGCGCGACAGCGUGGGGAGCAAACAGGAUUAGAUACCCCGGUAGUC